GUGGGGAUUUAGGGUUAUGUAAAUGUGCCGUUCAGUUUCUCGAGCUCUCUCACCCUCGUUCUCGUUUGCGCAAAUGACCAGCGCCGGAGAAGCUGUUUCUCCUCCGUCGUGCCUAAAUAAACCGGCCACCACUCGUUCAUCCGUUCCCUCAAACAUCUCAACCUAAUCUUCACGGAUCCGUUUCUCUCCUAACCUAAUAUGAACCGAAGCCCUAGAUUCGCAAAUGAUGGAAGAAUCGGAUCAAUUAAGAACGUCGCUCAACACUGGAAGAUGGGGAAGAUUGGGCGUACCUGGAUUGAAGAUUUGUACGAGAUGAAGAGAACACCGAGGAUCCUUGGCGAAAUAAACGCGAAAAAUACUUCAAUUCAGGGCUGCCAUGAACUUCUCUUGUUUUUUCUCCUCACUUGAGCUCGAGAAACAAUUCAAACUUGGCAACAUCGUUACUGACUUUGGCCUUCGCAUCAGAAACUUCAUGAAGUUAAAUAGGGCACUAGUGAAUUGGAACCCUGCUGGAUGAUCCAUUCUGUUCUGCUCGAUGUUUAACUUCUUACCACUUUGAAAUUUAAAUAUUGUGAAUGUAGGUACACUGUGAUACAUUUAUAUUUGAAUUAAUGUUCCUGAAACAGUAUUGCACUUGGAAUAAUGAAAACUCCUUCUAUUGAGAACCUAUAGAUGAAUCUUUGUAGGGAACUCUUGAUGGAUAUUAGGAUUUGUAAUGGAUGUUGUAUGGACCUGUAAUAAAUGUGAUGUAAGAAUAUUUUUGUAAUGAAGUUUGGAAAUUUGUAAUGAAUGGAUUUUUGAAAUGUAUGAAUUGGAUUUUAGACA